UACACGUUUUUAAAAACAGAUUUUAGGGGGAAAAACAAGUUUCUUGUUAGGGGAAAGUCACAAUUUGUAUGUUUUGUUACUGCGUUUUAUAUUAUGCUCUUGCACAUACUGACUAUAGUUUUUUGUUUUUUCUUAAAAAAACAUUUAAUCACAGUUUCUAUUCCAUUGAUGACUUGAUCAGGAAGAUCUCCAGGAUUUUUUUUUUUUUACUAUGAAGGUUUUUAUGCAAAGAACAAAAACAAGGCUGUGCCAUUAAUGGUUUCUAAACUUGUUUGCUUAUUAGAAUUUGGGAGACCUUUUCUAAAAAUGCACAUAUUGGGCCACAUGUCCAUAGACUGCAUCAGCUCUGGAGUAUGGCAGGUGCUUGUAUGACAGGUGACAGCAGUGUAGUGCUGGAAUACUGUUUGUGUGAGGUUAAUAGUUGCACCUUGAAAAUAAUAUAUGCAUCAGUAAAUUGAAGUAGUGCUGUGCUAACCAAAUUUCUCUAUAAGUAUAACGAUUUGGUUUUAAAGAUGCUAAUGUAGUUAAGAGAGGGCAGUAUAAAGCUAGAGUGGUUGCACAUAUUUAAUCUCAGAGUUCAAGGUCAGCCUGGUCCUCAUAGCCAGGUCCAGGCCAGCCAGGGCAGCAUAGUGAGAUCCUGGGAACAAAAGUGUGGGAAGGUAAACCUUCUGAUGCAAUGGAAUAGUAGUUUGUGAAGUACAGAUCAGAACUGAUUGAGUGAUCAUUACAGGUGUGCAUCUUGUCUUAUUGUCAGUAGUUAAGUGAAAAAGUAUUGCUUUGCUAAAAUAUGAAAAUGGUAGAAUAGUACAGAAGUGUUCUAACUACAAACACUAUAAAAGUCCCAUUUGUUACUAAGAUAAAAGAUAUCUGGGAGUCUUCUUUAGUUCUUGCUAGAAUAUUAAAUGAAGCAUGACUUGUUUAUGAAUCUGUUGAGGGCUUGAGAAGUUGUACGUCAUCCAUUUAAUUAUCUGUGGUGUUGAUUUUUUUUUUUAAAUAUUAAUUGCUUGUGGAGACUUAGCUUAUAAACUAUUGACUUAACCACCUUGAGUACCAGAAUUUAUUUUGUUGUUUAGUUUAUUUAACUCUGUGUUUUUUUUUUUUUUAAAGUAGAGACAUUCUAAAGAUGUUUUUUAUGAGUACACUGUAGCUGUGUUCUGACAAACCAGUAGAGGGCAUCGGAUCCCAUUACAGAUGGUUGUGAGUCACCAUGUGGUUGCUGGGAAUUGAACUCAGGACCUCUGGAAGAGCAGUCAGUGCUCUUAACCACUGAGCCAUCUCUCCAGCUCAAACUCUGUGGUUUGAUAUUCAGAUGUCAGUAAAUAAUUUGGCUUCAGUAACAUAUAAAAUUGUAGUGUUGAACUGUUCUUUUUCUUAGUUCUUAAUCCUUUGGUCAAACUGGCAUGUGUGUGGCCAUCACUGGUCUCUCAAUACAAUAGUACCUAGUUAUUUAAAGUGAUGAUAUAUAUAUAUAUAUAGUGAACUUAAAAAUAAUUGCUUGGAGCUGGAUGAGAUAGUGUAUAGGAAGCAGAAACAUGAGGAUAGCUUCAAGUUAAAGAUAAGCCACAUCCCUUCUCAAGAGGAAAAACAAAACAACAUCAUCAGACACACACACC
rnacentral:lncRNA from 1 species